UUCCUCCUCCCCCUGCCCUUCUCCUUCUUCUUCAUCUACCUCAUUGUCGGCCUCCUGCUCCCCAUUUUCCUCACAAGCUUCCCAUCACCAGGUGUGGCUCUUCCAUUCAAAUCAGAAGAGCA